rnacentral:misc_RNA from 1 species
AGCAGCCGCGGUAAUUCCAGCUCCAAUAGCGUAUAUUAAAGUUGUUGCAGUUAAAAGCUCGUAGUUGAAUUUCGGGAUCAAUUAAUCGGUCGUGCCUCUGGUACGCACUGGUUUUAUUGGUUUCUCCCUUCUGACGAACCAGGAUGUCAUUAAUUUGGUGUCUUGGAGAAUCAGGACUGUUACUUUGAAAAAUUAGAGUGUUUAAAGCAGGCUAACGCUUGAAUACAUUAGCAUGGAAUAAUGAAAUAGGACGUUUGAUCCUAUUUUGUUGGUUUCUAGGAUCGACGUAAUGAUUAAUAGGGAUAGUUGGGGGCAUUAGUAUUCAAUUGUCAGAGGUGAAAUUUCUUGGAUUUAUUGAAGACUAACUACUGCGAAAGCAUUUGCCAAGGAUGUUUUCAUUAAUCAAGAACGAAAGUUAGGGAUCGAAGACGAUCAGAUACCGUCGUAGUCUUAACCAUAAACUAUGCCGACUAGGGAUCGGAUGAUGUUAAUUUUUUAAUGACUCAUUCGGCGCCUUACG